UGCAGUCGAACGAGAAAGCUUCUUCGGAAGUGAUUAGAGUGGCGCACGGGUGAGUAACGCGUAGACAAUCUGCCCUUCAGUCCGGGACAACUUUCCGAAAGGGGAGCUAAUACCGGAUAACAAUGUUUGACAUAAGUUGAAUAUUUGAAAGCUCCGGCGCUGAUGGAUGAGUCUGCGUCCCAUUAGCUUGUUGGUGCGGUAGUGGCGCACCAAGGCCGCGAUGGGUAGCGGGUUUGAGAGGACGAUCCGCCACACUGGAACUGAGACACGGUCCAGACUCCUACGGGAGGCAGCAGUGGGGAAUAUUGCACAAUGGAGGAAACUCUGAUGCAGCAAUGCCGCGUGAGUGAAGAAGGCCCUUGGGUCGUAAAGCUCUUUUAUGGGGGAAGAUGAUGACGGUACCCCAGGAAUAAGCACCGGCUAACUACGUGCCAGCAGCCGCGGUAAUACGUAGGGUGCGAGCGUUGUUCGGAAUUACUGGGCGUAAAGGGCGCGCAGGCGGAGAUGCAAGUCGGAGGUGAAAGCCCGGGGCUCAACCCCGGAGGGUCUUUCGAAACUGCAUCUCUAGAGAGGGUCAGGGGCCGGCAGAAUUCCUGGUGUAGAGGUGAAAUUCGUAGAUAUCAGGAGGAAUACCGGUGGCGAAAGCGGCCGGCUGGGGCCACUCUGACGCUGAGGCGCGAAAGCGUGGGGAGCAAACAGGAUUA
rnacentral:rRNA from 1 species